AUUGAACGCUGGCGGCAUGCCUUACACAUGCAAGUCGAACGGCAGCACGGGUGCUUGCACCUGGUGGCGAGUGGCGAACUGGUGAGUAAUACAUCGGAACGUACCUUAUCGUGGGGGAUAACGCAGCGAAAGCUGUGCUAAUACCGCAUACGCCCUGAGGGGGAAAGCGGGGGAUCGAAAGACCUCGCGCGAUUAGAGCGGCCGAUGCCUGAUUAGCUUGUUGGUGGGGUAAAAGCCCACCAAGGCGACGAUCAGUAGCUGGUCUGAGAGGACGAUCAGCCACACUGGGACUGAGACACGGCCCAGACUCCUACGGGAGGCAGCAGUGGGGAAUUUUGGACAAUGGGGGAAACCCUGAUCCAGCAAUGCCGCGUGAGUGAAGAAGGCCUGGUUGUAAGCGUCUUUGUUCAGGAAGAAACAACCGGCUCUAACACA
rnacentral:rRNA from 1 species